AUUGAACGCUGGCGGCAGGCCUAACACAUGCAAGUCGAGCGGAGAUGAGGUGCUUGCACCUUAUCUUAGCGGCGGACGGGUGAGUAAUGCUUAGGAAUCUGCCUAUUAGUGGGGGACAACAUUCCGAAAGGAAUGCUAAUACCGCAUACGCCCUACGGGGGAAAGAAGGGGAUCUUCGACCCUGGGGUUAAUGAAUGAGCCUAAGUCGGAUUAGCUAGUUGGUGGGGUAAAGGCCUACCAAGCCGACGAUCUGAAGCGGGUCGGAGAGGAUGAUCCGCCACACUGGGACUGAGACACGGCCCAGACUCCUACGGGAGGCAGCAGUGGGGAAUAUUGGACAAUGGGCGGAAGCCUGAUCCAGCCAUGCCGCGUGUGUGAAGAAGGCCUUUUGGUUGUAAAGCACUUUAAGCGAGGAGGAGGCUACCUGGAUUAAUACUCUAGGAUAGUGGACGUUACUCGCAGAAUAAGCACCGGCUAACUCUGUGCCAGCCGCCGCAGUAACAC
rnacentral:rRNA from 1 species